GGCUCAGGACGAACGCUGGCGGCGUGCUUAACACAUGCAAGUCGAACGAUGAACCACUUCGGUGGGGAUUAGUGGCGAACGGGUGAGUAACACGUGGGCAAUCUGCCCUUCACUCUGGGACAAGCCCUGGAAACGGGGUCUAAUACCGGAUAACACUCCCUCUCUCAUGGGUGGGGGUUAAAAGCUCCGGCGGUGAAGGAUGAGCCCGCGGCCUAUCAGCUUGUUGGUGAGGUAAUGGCUCACCAAGGCGACGACGGGUAGCCGGCCUGAGAGGGCGACCGGCCACACUGGGACUGAGACACGGCCCAGACUCCUACGGGAGGCAGCAGUGGGGAAUAUUGCACAAUGGGCGAAAGCCUGAUGCAGCGACGCCGCGUGAGGGAUGACGGCCUUCGGGUUGUA
rnacentral:rRNA from 1 species